GAAAAACAAACCAUGCCCUACAGACAUAAUAGAAGAGUGAAGAAAAAGCACAGAAAGGAAACUAGAAUUCAUCUUAAUUUAACAAAAGCCUGCUAUAUUUGCCAACAGUGUGGUAGAGUGUACUUCUGGUUGCUCCUUAUGUCUGUGUAUGAUCUUAACCUCCUUGCAGCUAUACCCACAUCUAGAAUAGGGAAAGCUGUGCGGAAAGAAAACCAACUGGCCAACUGCUGAACUUCAUUCCACAUGCCAGAUCUCCAGAAUAACUGCACAGGAAGACUUCAGUUCUUCAGCAAGUUAUGGCCAACAGGGGAAUGAAGAUGACAACGUGCUUCUGGAGCACUGUGAAUGAGCAUCCAGCAUCCAGGAUUACAGGGAAGACCUUUUUUUUUUUUUUUUUUUUUUUUUUUUUAGGAAGGAGAGGGCUAGAAAAGUGAGGAUGGGCUCUGCCAUCUCCAUUCCCAGCUAAGAACUUUAUCUAAAACUCAUUUAAGGAUUAUAUGAAUUUCUUUCAAAGCAGUGCUGUAGGCCCAUACAAAUGUAAUAUUUUCCAGAGUACUGUCACAGAUUUCUAAUAAACGAACAACAGUACCACAUGUAUAAGUCAAAAAUUUAAACAACAAUGAUUGCAUUUCUGUUUGCUAAACUCUUUCCUUGGUCUGCUCAUCUGACCAGUCACCACAGUCCCAUGAUCAAUUAAUAAAUCUGCAUUACAUACGGUUUCCAUAUACAAUCUCUUUAAUAAGCAUAACACUAUGUGAAAUCAUUGCCUGUUGUUGACUCGGCAAAAGCUGAGAGGGAAAAAUGAACAGACAAUCAAGGAUUACCGUGAAGUUAAUUUUAGCCCAGCUUUUUCUUGUAUAAAUAAAUUUUCCAUUCACCUUCUCUCUAAUUGAUUAGUACCUAAUUUAAGCAUUUUUUUUUCUUUUUUCUUUCUUUCUUUCUUUCUUUCUUUUUUUUUUUUUUUUUUUUUCCCCAGGGGAUGAAAGCGCUUUUCCUGUUACUUCCAGCUUGUUUCUUUUCAUUUCCAUUCCCUCCCCAUCUCACUCUCAGGAAAGCAUCUGCUCAACUUUUUGUUUAUUUAUUUUUAGUUAUUACCAUUGAUCUUGAGAAGCUAAUCAGAACCAAGCCCUGGCUUCCAUCCUAGUAUUUCUAUAUUUUCUUGUAUGUAAGGGUGCAGCAGAGUCUGGCUGCUCCACAGGUUUAGGGGAUGCUGAGAGCAGUGGCAUCUCCCCAAGGAUGGUGGGACAGAACCUGGCUGGUGAGACCCUUCCAGCCUUGCAGGCUGAACCUUCCCUGCAGUGCUGCGCCUGUGAUGGCUCUCUCUAUGGCUGCCAAGGGAAUGGGCAGCUACUAGCUCGGAGCUGCCCCUGAGCCCCAGAAGAGAGAACUCCAGGAGUGGGGACUUUCUCAUAGCCCUUACAAUAAGCUAUUCAUCCUUGCAGACUAAAAAUCUCACAGUGCAGCUGGCUGUCUUGUUAAAUCUUGAAUCUUUCACACUUCUGGCAUCAUUUAAAUAAAUUAUGUUCUAGACUGCCUGUCAUCAAAGUGACAAAGCUUCUGGG
rnacentral:lncRNA from 1 species